rnacentral:hammerhead_ribozyme from 1 species
AGCUAGCUGAUGAGUCUCAAAUAGGACGAAACGUAUGUCCUGGAU